UGGGGCAGUGAAAACUUGAGUUUGGAGUUCUGUGUGCAAAGGGUUAGUUUAGGUAGUCUAGGUAAGUCAUUUGGGACUUGGUAAAGUCUCUAAGUUUCUUGGAAUUGUGCCACAAAUGGUUUAAUUCAAUUUGGGUAUCUAAGUUGAGUUUUUGGGUGAAAUUUUGAGUUUUCUUGUUUAGAUUUAGGUUAUGAGUGUUUAGACAACAUUGGAUAAGUAUAAGUAAGUAUAUGACACAAUCUAGGAGGGUUAGAAGUUGGG
rnacentral:lncRNA from 1 species